UUUGUCCUUGUCUUUGGGGAGCAAAGUAUUCCAUGAGCGUUAAGUGAGAAUACUGUUGCUGAAACCUGACAAAUUAAUUUAACCCGCAUCCGUAUUUUAAACGACACGAGAUGCAAUUUUUGAGAAG
rfam:Cerapachys biroi unplaced genomic scaffold scaffold484, whole genome shotgun sequence.